rnacentral:rRNA from 1 species
AGAGCCCAGCACCGAAGCCUGCGGCAGUUUUGCUGUUAGGCAAUGUGGUGUGUGGGUCGGCUCGCGGAACCAUCACUCCACUCGAAGUCCAGCAUUGAGUAUGGCCCAUUACUGGAUUUGGCCCAGAGAGGGUGAGAGGCCCGUACGGGUGGAGGUUCAGACAUGUGCGAUGGUUCACCAGGCCGGCCUCAGAGUCGGGUUGUUUGAGAUUGCAGCCCAAAGAGGGUGGUAAACUCCAUCCAAGGCUAAAUACUGCCACGAGUCCGAUAGCGAACAAGUACCAUGAGGGAAAGUUGAAAAGUACUCUGAAGAGAGAGUAAACAGUACGUGAAGCCGCAUGCAGGUAAACGGGUGGCGUCAAGCUGCGAGCCCGGAGGAUUCAGCUGACUGGGAUGUAGUGUACGCGCGCCUGGUGCGUCGAGAGGCCGGAGUAAGAUGUGACGGUUCACUCCUCUGACGGGGGUGAAGUGCGGCUGGUGUAAGCCAGUUGUCGCUAUGCUUGCCGGGUGGGUGCCGGAGCAUGCCGUUCGUCUGUUGGGCCGCCUAGUCAGUGCAUUUUCUCUGUGGUGAACACCACGACCGGUGGAACUGCCAGUCUGCUGUAGUCAAGUCGUGCUCUCCUGAUGCUUCACUGUGUUGGGUGGGUACGAUCGCAGGCGGAGUCGGUGGACGGCGCAGUGGUGCUUCGGUACCGCCGCGUGUUAUCGUGCACUCUCCGUCGUAAGCGGUUAGUGGGGCUGACUGAGUGCUGUAACCACUUCCUCAUUAACUGGCGGACUGCAGUGGUGAAAGGGACUGUGCAGGGCACCGGAGUUAUCCACCUCAUUCAAUAUGGUACUCGGCACGCACGUUAUAGGUGCAAUGAAAUCGGGAUGCGCCGCUGUCUGCCUGGUGUUGGGCCUGACUGUCGUGUUGCCUGCGCAAAGUGGGUCCGGCAGUGGUCUCGGCGCCUGGUAGUCGCAGUGUGUUGCGUGUUUCGGGUGUCUGUGGUACCGGGGGUGAAAUAGUCAGUGGUGCUGUGGUAGACGAGCUACCCGACCCGUCUUGAAACACGGACCAAGGAGUUUAACAUGUGUGCGAGUCAAAGGGUCCUACGAAACCCCUAGGCGCAGUGAAAGUAAAGUUCAUGCUGUACUUCCGCACAUACGCAGUACAGUGUGGCGAGGUGAGAUCUCGUUGUACUCAUGACACACGCCGCAGACCUUACUGGGCUUUAACUGGGGCAACGAGCGCAUCACCGGCCCGUCCCAUGAUGUGGUCAUAGGUGUUACCCGGUGUUGUGUGUUCGCAUGCAGCAUCGGAGCCUGUGCGUCAUCGGGGCGGAG